rnacentral:rRNA from 1 species
GAUGAACGCUGGCGGCGUGCCUAAUACAUGCAAGUCGAGCGAACGGACGAGAAGUUUGCUUCUCUGAUGUUAGCGGCGGGCGGGUGAGUAACACGGGUAUAACCUAUCGUUAAGACUGAUAUCACUUCGGGAAACCAGAUCUAACACCGGAUAAUAUUUUGAACCGCAUUGUUCAUAAGUGAAAGACGGUCUUGCUGUCACUUGUAGAUGGAUCCUCGCUGCAUUAGCUAGUUGGUAAGGUAACGGCUUACCAAGGCAACGAUCCAUAGCCGACCUGAGAGGGUGAUCGGCAACACUGGAACUGAGACACGGUCCAGACUCCUACGGGAGGCAGCAGUAGGGAAUCUUGGGCAAUGGGCGAAAGCCUGACGGAGCAACGCCGCGUGAUUGAUGAAGGUCUUCGGAUCGUAAAACUCUGUUAUUAGGGAGGAAGAUAUGUAUAAGUAAAUGUGCACAUCUUGACGGUACCUAACCAGAAAGCCACGGCUAACUACGUG